CUUGCGACGCAGGCGCAGAGGCUGGGCGUGCAGCCGCCGCCGCAGAGCCGGAGCGGGGGCCGCCGGCGCCGCAUCCCUCUCUACCUGCCAACAUCCUGUAUUAGAGAACUUGUGGCCGGAGGUGUGGCUGUGGAGAGCUGGCCGGGGAGGGACGCUGCUCAGCUGCUGCUCUGCUCCUGUCUCCUGUCCCCUCCCCCGGCCAUGACAGAGACCCGUGAGCCAGCUGAGACUGGGGGCUACGCCAGCUUGGAAGAAGACGAUGAAGACCUUUCCCCAGGUAAGGUGGCCUUAGAGGUGGUGGCGUUGGCUUGACAGUCAUCCUGGCUUAGGGUUUGGCCUCCACUGGGAAAUGUUGAUGGGGAGUGGCUGCUUGUCUUGCUAGGGGUUCUAUUCUGACUGAGACUGCUUGUCCUAGUAGGGGAUCUCUUCCAGUCGGGACUUCUGGGGACUGUAGAUUGACUGGGGUCGCUCUCCUUGCUAGAGGUUCUAGAUUGGCUAUGAUUUCCUUCCUUGCUGGGGGUUCUAGAUCGGCUAUGAGCUUUCUCCUUGCUGGAGGCUCUAGGUCGACU
rnacentral:sRNA from 1 species